rnacentral:rRNA from 1 species
GACGAACGCUGGCGGCGUGCCUAAUACAUGCAAGUCGAGCGCAGGAAGCCGUCUGAACCCUUCGGGGGGACGACGGUGGAAUGAGCGGCGGACGGGUGAGUAACACGUAAAGAACCUGCCCAUAGGUCUGGGAUGACCACGAGAAAUCGGGGCUAAUACCGGAUGUGUCAUCGGACCGCAUGGUCCGCUGAUGAAAGGCGCUUCGGCGUCGCCCAUGGAUGGCUUUGCGGUGCAUUAGCUAGUUGGUGGGGUAACGGCCCACCAAGGCGACGAUGCAUAGCCGACCUGAGAGGGUGAUCGGCCACACUGGGACUGAGACACGGCCCAGACUCCUACGGGAGUCAGCAGUAGGGAAUCUUCCACAAUGGACGAAAGUCUGAUGGAGCAACGCCGCGUGAACGAUGAAGGCUUUCGGGUCGUAAAGUUCUGUUGUAAGGGAAGAACAAGUGCCGCAGGCAAUAGCGGCACCUUGACGGUACCUUGCGAGAAAGCCACGGCUAACUACGUGCCAGCCGCCGCCGUAAGAC